rnacentral:tRNA from 1 species
GCGCCAGUAGCUCAACUGGAUAGAGCAUCAGCCUACGAAGCUGAGGGUUAGGGGUUCGAAUCCCUUCUGGCGCA